CCGAGUUUACAACUCCCAAACCCCUGUGAACAUACCUAUACGUUGCCUCGGCGGAUCAGCCCGCGCCCCGUAAAACGGGACGGCCCGCCGCAGGAUCCACAAACUCUGUUUUUAUUGUAACUUCUGAGUAACAAAACAAAUAAAUCA
rnacentral:misc_RNA from 1 species